CCCCACUCCAAAGUCCUCCACAGAAAGAAUUACAACAAAUCAUAUACUCCAAGCCAAAAUGUUCAUCGAAGAAAGCACCCCAGUGCUCAAUUUUGUAAAACAAAUUUCAUCAAUCAAUUCAAUCAAUAAAGCACCUCUUAUGAUAUGGAGUACAAUGGGGGAAAAUUUUAACCAAAAAUAAAAUAAAGAGAUUAAAUAUAAAUAAAUGAAGCACGAUCACAUCUCUCUCUCUCUCUCUAGAAGAUGAAGCUGACGGCGACGGCAGCCCAUCCGAAAGCCAAACUUCCGGCCACCUUCUGCAGGUUCCACAAUGUUUCAGCUCCACUCUUGUCCUCUAGUGAAGGGCUGGGCGAAGGACCUUCCUCGCUUGCUCCAGGGGCUUCGGAAGGAGGAGCAGGUGGACCAAGCAACGCCGGAGAAGGAGCUGGUGCUUUGUGCUUCUUGGACUUCUUCUUGCUAGGCGCCGGCGCCGGAACCUCAACGGGAGGCGAUGCGACUGGAGCAGGAGGAGAACUUUCGGGAGCGGGAGGAGAUUCAGUUGGAGUUGGUACUGGAGGAGAGCUCACCGGUACGGGAACUGGUGGAGAACUCACCGGGACCGGAACAGGUGGGGAGCUCGCUGGAACGGUAGCAGCCGGCGGAGAGGUAGGUGGUACAGAAGCAGCCGGUGGAGAGCUAGUAGGAACUGAAGCAGUCGGAGGAGUGCUGGCUGGUGGAGAGGCUACUGGAGCGACUGCUGGUGGCGCCGAAGCAGGCGGCGUGGAGACAGUCCGUAAUAGCACUUGUUCUCAUCUGCGCCGUCGUCGCUGGUGUCGGUGGCCAGUCUCCGGCUGCAGCUCCGACUACUACGCCGGGGGCCACCCCGCCUGCAGCCGCGAAGUAUCUAACUCCUGCCGCAUCUCCUGUAUCACCACCGA
rnacentral:misc_RNA from 1 species